GUUGAACGCUGGCGGCAUGCCUAACACAUGCAAGUCGAACGCGUGGCGGACGGGUGAGUCAUGUCUGGGAAACUGCCUGAUGGAGGGGGAUAACUACUGGAAACGGUAGCUAAUACCGCAUACCAUCAGAUGUUCCCAGAUGGGAUUAGCUGGUUGGUGGGGUAACGGCUCACCAAGGCGAAGAUCCCUAGCUGGUCUGAGAGGAUGAACAGCCACACUGGAACUGAGACACGGUCCAGACUCCUACGGGAGGCAGCAGUGGGGAAUAUUGCGCAAUGGGCGCAAGCCUGAUGGAGCCAUGCCGCGUGUAUGAAGAAGGCCUUCGGGUUGUAAAGUACUUUCAGCGGGGAUGCGUUACCCUAAGAAGAAGCACCGGCUAACUCCGUGCCAGCAGCCGCGGUAAUAC
rnacentral:rRNA from 1 species